AAAACACUGACUGCUUUUAUAUUUUUGUGUCAAUGUAAUAAUGUGCAGUAGUGUGUGAGAGUGUGUGUCAGUGCUGUUAAUGUGUUGUACAGUGUGUGUUAGUGUUGUUAAUGCGAGUGUCUCACUUGUGUGUUGGCAGGUUUUGCUGGUCAGAUUCAUGUCCUUGAGUCCCUCUGCUGACCAUGAGCAGGAGAACAGCUUUUGAAAUGAGUCUCUCUGGGGAGCCUGAGGCUGAAGAUGGAGCGAUGGGCCCUGAAAUUAAGAGAGUCAAGCUGGAUAGACCAGGGUCACCAAUGUCCAGCUGUGUGUCCAUAAAGAGUGACGGUUCAAUGAAUCAACCAAUAGAUUUCAGAGAAGGACCCAUCGCCUCUGACCGCAGAUCUGCUGGGCAUGGAAAUGUGUUCUGUGAUUUCUGCACUGACAAGAAGAUACGAGCUGUGAAAUACUGCCAUGUCUGCUCAGCAUCUUAUUGUGAGACACAUGUUCGACAGCACUACACAGUCCCAGCCCUGCAGGAGAAGAACAGACCAGGUCAGUGUGUACUUAUGAGUGUGCUUUGGCAACUGGAAUCAAUUAAACAUAAUAAUUUAAAGUCUUACACAUGGAUUCUAAAUAUACAGUAA
rnacentral:lncRNA from 1 species